GCAGGCAAAUGAGGGAACUACAUUUUAGACACAGCAUAGUUAUCAUCGUUAUUCUUCUCUGUCAUAAAGCAAAAUGUGAAAGUAAAAUGAAACUUUGCACCAGGAGUGGCCUGCUGGAAGUUUGACCUAUUUGUUUUGAGGGGCUGAAGUAAAACACAUUUUGCGAUUCCUUCUCUGGAUCUUGUCUAUGCCUACUAUGACAGCAACUGCACAUCCACACACACAGUCAAGAUUCUUUCUGGGAAAGUGUUGGGUCUACUACACACCCAAAAAUCAACUGCAACAAACACAGACACACAGACCACGCAGACAUCCUGUCUGUGCACCAGUGCCUGAGGACCUCCUGGGAAGGACGAAGCUGGCAACAGGCUGCAACCACUGGAGCAAUUAAUGUGGAUCUGGACAAGGAUCAGGAUUAAUUUUUCCAGCAGUGGCAGACUCACUCCUGGUUGCCAAAUUUCCUUUGAAGAACUUUUCCAUAGUUUUUCUUUUACCACAUGAUAGGCCAUCAAAAGAUGAGGAGAAACCACAAAGCCCUUGGAAAAGAAAAUGGCCACAAACAGGAGACUACUGUCCAAGCAACACGUCUGACCCACCCUUUGAUGCCAGUGGCUUCUAGGAAGGAGAGCACCUGAUAAGAGACAAGAGAAAUCACCAGCCAAUGGACAAAUAUCUUGACCUAUAAAACCCCAGGAUGUUUGUCAUGAUGCUCUAUAGAAACAUACAAUGAAAUAAACCCAACAACAGCAAA